rnacentral:rRNA from 1 species
AACGGACGCUGGCGGCAUGCCUAACACAUGCAAGUCGAACGGACGGUCGCAAGACCGUUAGUGGCGGACGGGUGCGUAACGCGUGGGAACCUGCCCUGAAGUUCGGAAUAACUGCGGGAAACUGCAGCUAAUACCGGAUGUGGCCUGCGGGCCAAAGGGGAAACUCGCUUCAGGAGGGGCCCGCGUCCGAUUAGCUAGUUGGUGAGGUAAUGGCUCACCAAGGCGAUGAUCGGUAGCUGGUCUGAGAGGACGACCAGCCACACUGGAACUGAGAUACGGUCCAGACUCCUACGGGAGGCAGCAGUGGGGAAUAUUGGACAAUGGGGGCAACCCUGAUCCAGCAAUGCCGCGUGAGUGAUGAAGGCCUCCGGGUUGUAAAGCUCUUUUGGCGGGGACGAUGAUGACGGUACCCGCAGAAUAAGCCCCGGCUAACUUCGUGCCAGCAGCCGCGGUAACAC